UAGGCUGCAGGUGUAUGGUUGGUAACAAUUAAGCCGAGCAGUACUAAUAGCCCGAAACGUUUGUGCAU
rnacentral:rRNA from 1 species